rnacentral:rRNA from 1 species
AUUGAACGCUGGCGGCAGGCUUAACACAUGCAAGUCGAGCGGGGUGAUGGUGCUUGCACUGUCACUUAGCGGCGGACGGGUGAGUAAUGCUUAGGAAUCUGCCUAUUAGUGGGGGACAACAUCUCGAAAGGGAUGCUAAUACCGCAUACGUCCUACGGGAGAAAGCAGGGGAUCACUUGUGACCUUGCGCUAAUAGAUGAGCCUAAGUCGGAUUAGCUAGUUGGUGGGGUAAAGGCCUACCAAGGCGACGAUCUGUAGCGGGUCUGAGAGGAUGAUCCGCCACACUGGGACUGAGACACGGCCCAGACUCCUACGGGAGGCAGCAGUGGGGAAUAUUGGACAAUGGGGGGAACCCUGAUCAGCCAUGCCGCGUGUGUGAAGAAGGCCUUAUGGUUGUAAAGCACUUUAAGCGAGGAGGAGGCUCUUUUGGUUAAUACCCAAGAUGAGUGGACGUUACUCGCAGAAUAAGCACCGGCUAACUCUGUGCCAGCAGCCGCCGUAA